GAGGAGCCAGACAUGGCGAUCCAUAGCAUCUGUUCUACUUGGUCGGAGGGAGAGAAUAUCUUGUUCAUACGCCGGGAGAAGCUUUCGGAUCAUAUCUCUGUUCCAAGAUUUAGAGACAGGGCAGAGGAGAUUUGCGACUGUUAAGUGUUGGCUGAGCUCUGUUGGUGGUCCCAUGGGAGUAGUCGUCUUUGAGAGAGACACCCAUGGUUCGUACCACAACAAAGUAUUGGCACCAAAUCCAAUUACCUUUCUGAGAUGAGUUUUUAGGAGAUCACGACCAAGGCAGAUCCCUCGCCAUCCAUGAGAUGCAGUUGGUGACACCUUGCAGUCCAGGAAAGGAGAGGUCUUGCAAUAUUUUCCUAGGAGAAGUUUGGCCAGUAAGCAGGAGGGAUUGGAGAGAAUUCUCCAACUGAUCUUAGCAAGGAGAGCAUCAUUGAAAUUAGCAGAGGAGUCCCACCAGAAUCUGGUGAGAGCUGACUGGAUUCUUUUACAGAGAGAUCCUGGGAUUUUGAAGCACAACAUUGUAUAGGUGUCUUUGCAGAGAAGCUUUGCUCAUCAGUUCUACAAAAGAACAUGGUGUCGUCGGCGAAGAGUAGGUGAUUUACUCUUGGGCAGCCUAACGCAAUUCUGACUCCAGGUGCUUGAGCGGGAUUUAGAGGUUUUCGAGCGUUAUUGGGCUUGUUCGGGCCAAAAAUGAUCGAGAGAAGAAGUAGCGGAUACUAGUGACUGGGAUCGAUCGAUACUCAUUAAACGACCAUCUAAUGAUCUUUUAUCUCUAAAAGAGUUCUUUCUUAUUCAUAUUUCAUGAAGACAUUUCUUUAAAUGCUUUGACAUUAAUUAUCGAUUGUUGACUUAAUUGUAGAUAUUAUUUAUGACUAAAUGUUAAUAUGAAUACAACAUCAUU